UUGGGUCAAAAUAUUAACCCUAUAACCCAGAAAAUUGUUACUCUCUGAAAAAAUAACCCAUAAUUUUAACCCAACACAAAUAACCCAGAAAAUGGGUUGAAGAAAUAACCCAGGAGUUUUUAGAGUGUACAUUCUUCUUGCAACAACUUUGUGGCAAAUACAUGUGCUAAACAGUAUAUUAUCAGGACUCAUGUGUUCUGUAUAUAAUUUAGAGGAUUUGGAAAGAGAAAAUAAAAACAUAAAUAAAUUAAGCCUACACUACAUUAUUUCCAGUGAACCAAAAUGGCUGUCAUUGAUGUCCUUCUAAAGACACUUGAAGAUCUGGAAUCAAGUGAACUCAAUCAAUUUAAAUGGCAUUUAACUCAAGGUGUGGAUGGCCACAAAAUCCCCAAAAAUAAAUUAGAGGGCAAACCAAUGUGGGAUAUUGUGGAUGGUAUGAUUCAACGGUUUCAUGAGGCUGGUGCUAUAAAAGUCACUCUGGACAUUUUGUACAAAAUGAAUCUGAACAAUCUUGCACUGCAAAUGAAUGAGGAUCUUCAAAAAAAAGGCAUAAAGUAGAGAUGAAGAAGAACUUCAGGCAUAAACAUCCAGAUGAUUCCAGCCACUACAUAAACAGCAGCCAUGAUGCACAAGACUGACUCUAAACUGGAUGGAAACAACACAUCUUCUACAUAUAACAGAUGUU